ensembl:lncRNA
CUGAGUGACUCCAGUGUGAGCUGGUUUAUUUAACCUUGGCAUUGAGCUCCCUGCUUUAUCUCAGUAUAUAAGAACGGGUUCCACGUUGUGCACAGCAGUAAGAUUCGUCUUUGAUUGUUAGUGUGACUGUUCUACUGUAAACUGUCCAUGAAAAAAUGGCUUGUUAUUUCAGUUCGGUUUUCCUUGCGAUGUUGGUCGGCGUUGGUCUGGCAUGGUUUGCAACUAAUGAAGUCAACAGUUUCCACCCCUCCAUCAGAGAAUUUCUUAUCGCAUCACAUCAUGAAAGCCUUCAAAUUGUAGAUGAAGCCAUUCACCAACCCAGGAAUCGACCAAGGAUAACCUCCUCUCUCAUCCAAUUGUACACAUAUCAUCGGCAAGCUGAGCCUGAGACCCAGGAGAUAUGUCGAGCUGCAGAGAUUUUUCAAACAACCCUUAAACUGCUAAAGGAAAGAGUGAAACAGAGCUACAAAAGGAAUGUCACAUUACCAGAGAUAUUAUCACUGGAGGACGUGAGGAUGAUUUCAGAGAUGUGUCACUGUCCUACUGCAUAUCCAAUCAACUGUCAGUACAGUCAUCUCAGCAAGUACCGCACCAUAUCAGGAGCCUGCAACAACAGAUGCACGAGUGAUUGGACCCUACACUCUUCCAUAAGUGGGUCAAAAAGGACCCGUGUAAGAAUCAAUGUGUUUUUAUGCCAUUUUUGUCAUUUUGGUUAAGAAUAAUAAUUUGUAUUAUUGUUUGGAUUAUAUUUUUGUCCACACGAGAAUGGUUUCAUGCUUGAAAUAUGUUUAUUUUUCACUUUAUAACAGAUUUUGAACAAUUUGAUAAUUGAAAAAGAAGAAUAUUACACAGAACAACAAUAGAAGACUGUCAACGUCCUUUUUGUUGACAUUUUCCUCCAGCUGUUGCUGCUCUCUGUUUAUGCACUGCAUUACCUCUUGUAUGAUUAUUAUCAGCGAUAAAGAGCUUGGGGUAGUAAUACAAAUCUUAGAAAAGGUAGCUUAAAAAUUUUAAUGGAAAGACAUCAAAAAUAUGUUUUUUUGGGAGUAGCUGAAAAAUGAACAUUACAAAUAAUUUGCAAGAAAACUACCUCACUGUGUCAUUUUUGACCCACUUUUGCAUCUCAGGGUUAAAUUCUAAAUGUAAGAACCACAUUCUCCACCAAGGUGAAAAUGGGCUCAAAUUACCACCUGUGCCACUCAGAUCUGUCCUUUGACCUUUUCAAUAUAAAUAGGUUUUGUUUCAUCAGUUUAUCCUUUUAGACACUUGUAUAAAAUGUUUCAAAUUGAUACACUAAUUAUUUAACGUAUCAAUUUGUAAGUUAUGGCUAAAUAAAUCUUUUAUUGUAAUUUAUUGUAGCAAAGGAUAAAAUACGACUGUUGUCAGUGUGAGCAGUAAUGCUGUAUUUUCAAAAACGAAAAUAAAACGUAGUUCGUUGCAUUACGAUUUGACACGGUUUGCAUUUAAGUGAAAAAUAAAUAUGUUAAUGAAUGACUUUGUUUCAGAAUGGGCCGUUACGAACUUCACAGUUUCUAAACUGCAUCUCCUAGAAAUGACCUUUAUGUACUAUUUGUUUGCAACACUAUGUGAGCUGAACAGAACACCUCGAGUUUGCAUUGACCACUACAAACGAAACGUGAACCUCUAGGUCAUCUGUGGAAGCAGCCUAUUGCAACUCAGAUUGACUGUUUUUCUUUUUUCAGCUGUUUCAGCAAAUCCAUCAAAAUGACUUAAAGCAUGAUCAGGUGAAGAAGCCCUCUAGUGGAUGGAUGGGUUGAUUAAACAUUGGGUCAUUAUGAUCACUGAUCUUAAUGAAACACUUAUUUUAACUUUAACCCAAGUGCCUAAGCAUAAUCAUGACAGUCUAAUUAAGAUAUUACAUAGUAAAAGUACUCAGUGGAGAGUCAUAUUGUUUUUACUGAUAUGAAAACAGCAUCUUACUCUGGUAGCUGAUUGACUUGUAACUGAUUUUGCUUCGUCUGGGAGUGCAAGUCAUGUCAUUUACACAACAUUUUAAAUGAGUAAUCUUCAUAUUAUUUUCUUGAGGGUGGGUACAAAUGUCCAUCACGACUGCUCAAAACCCAGGGACAGCAGUGAUUGAUACCUCCAGGCAACAUUUCAAACAAAACUAUUAAAAAUAAAUUAAGACAUAAAAAGCAAAGGAAAAA